AGAGUUUGACUCCUGGCUCGAGGACGAACGCUGGCGGCGUGCUUAACACAUGCAAGUCGAACGAGGUUAGAGACUUCGGUUUUUAACCGAGUGGCGGACGGGUGAGUAACGCGUGAGCAAUCUGUCCCAGACAGGGGGGAUAACAACUGGAAACAGUUGCUAAUACCGCAUAAGACCACGUCAUCGCAUGGUGAUGAGGUAAAAGGAGCAAUCCGGUUUGGGGUGAGUUCGCGUCUGAUUAGAUAGUUGGCGAGGUAACGGCUCACCAAGUCGACGAUCAGUAGCCGACCUGAGAGGGUGACCGGCCACAUUGGGACUGAGACACGGCCCAGACUCCUACGGGAGGCAGCAGGUGGGGAAUAGUUGGGCAAGUGGGGGAAACCCUGACCCAGCAACGCCGCGUGAGGGAAGUAAGGUUUUCGGAUUAGUAAACCUCUGUCCUUGGGGACGAACAAGAUGACGGUACCCGAGGAGGAAGCCCCGGCUAACUACGUGCC
rnacentral:rRNA from 1 species